AACGCAUAUUGCGCCCUUUGGCAUUCCGAAGGGCAUGCCUGUUCGAGCGUCAUUUCACCCCUCAAACUUCAUUGUUUGUCAUUGGGCAUUGCCGGUCAAAAAGGCACGCCUAAAAAUCAACGACGGUUCCUACCAACCUCAAGCGUACAAGUAUCGUUAUGGUGGAAGGUUGGGGGCUUGUCCUUUAAGUAAAUAUCUAAAUGUUGACCUCGGAUCAGGUAGGGAUACCCGCUGAACUUAA
rnacentral:misc_RNA from 1 species